rnacentral:sRNA from 1 species
CCUCCUGAGGUGCUCUGGCCCCGGAUUCUCCCGGGCUGCAUUCUCUGCUCCUCCUCGCCUGCGAAGCAUCACGUCCGCUUCCCGACGCUGAGGGCAGCCCCAUCCAGGGUAUGUGGAGCUGGUGAACGCUGCCUGUAACUUCGAGCCACACGAGAGCUUCUUCAGCCUCUUCUCGGACCCCCGCAGCACCCGCCUCACGCGGAUCCACCUCCGCGAGGACCUGGUGCAGGACCAGGACCUGGAGGCCAUCCGCAAGCAGGACCUGGUGGAGCUGUACCUGACUAACUGCGAGAAGCUGUCCGCCAAGAGCCUGCAGACACUGAGGAGCUUCAGCCACACCCUGGUGUCCUUGAGCCUCUUCGGCUGUACAAACAUUUUCUAUGAGGAGGAGAACCCAGGGGGCUGUGAAGAUGAGUACCUCGUCAACCCCACCUGCCAGGUGCUGGUUAAGGAUUUUACCUUCGAGGGCUUCAGCCGCCUCCGCUUCCUCAACUUGGGCCGCAUGAUUGAUUGGGUCCCCGUGGAGUCCUUGCUGCGGCCGC